GCAAUCACUAAGUUAAGUGGCCUAAAUGUAUUUAUAUUCAUAUAUAUUCACCUUAAUGUGAAGGGACUUUCAAACAGCAUAACAAAAAAGUUUUUGAACCAAAUCACCCACCCUGCCUUUAAGAUUCAAAGAAUUCACAUUUCUUAGUAUUUAUGAACUGUAAAUGUCAAAAAAGUUUUUUUUAAUUAAUAAAUACAUCUUAUUUUAUUUUAUUUUUACAGUUAUUUUUGCAGUGCACCAUAGGCAACAUUUAAGGCAUCUUAAGCUUAUGCUGUCUAAUAAGAAAACCUGUAACAUACUAAGGCAGGAUGGUAUGUAUGCUUUGUGGUUAAAACAAUCCCAAAAUGCAUUUUGACAUUUGGUAAAGCAAACAUUUAGAUUCAAGAUCACAGAUGCAUUUGAGAGAAAUUAGAAAUGCAUUGUGCAUUUUGUUUAUUGUAUAUUGCACCGAAAAAUAGCAAUAGAAAUCACUCCAGUUUACCUCAACAGUAGGCUAUGUGUGCUUUUUUAAGUUAGGUUUUUUGUUGUUAUUGUUUUUUUUAUGUCAAUCAUGCACUUUACAUUAGGAAUAAUUAUUUGAAUACAGUUUUAAAUGAGACACUUUUGAUUUUGGUUAAGAAGCUGCACUAAGAAGGAAGCUGCCUGUAGACGGUGAGAUUUUGGAGACGGAUCAAGAUUGCAAUGAAUCAACAAUGCUUUCUUUAACCUCUUGACUGCUUGACUAAUAAAUGAUGGAUAAUCAGUUACUAAUGCUAAUAUGGAGAUUACAGUCAUAGUUUAUUUGUUCUAUACAGAACUAGCACUUGAACAUGCAUCUAAAGUGGCUCUUAAAUUGGAGACAUACAGCCUUUUGUUGACAUUUUAUUGACAUACAGCUAACCUAGAAAGUAUAUUUGGAUGCUUAAGUCACACUUAAAAUAUCAGAAUGUCAUUGCAUUAGAAAUGAUAUCCAUCAAAUGCUACAUUAUCUUUUCUGUUCGCUAACAUCGUCAUUUUCAAAGUUUUAAUCACACUAUCAACAAACAUAGUCACUGAAUACCGACUGUCCUUAUUUUCAACACUACAUCUAUUGUUUUAGCAUUUCAAAGCAAACAGGCUUCCUUUUGUCGAGUCAUUUUUAUUUGUAUAGUGCUUUUCUACAUUACACGUCAUUUCAAAGCAGAUUUAGCCUACAGAAAAGGUGGCAAUGUUUAAAUGAGUUUAUAUCAAUCAAUGCAUGUAUGUAUGUAUGUAUGUAUGAAUGAAUGAAUGAUAGUUUUAUUUUUUUAUUCUUUUUAUUCUUUUACAUUUUAUUUUUAUAUUUUUAUUUUUUGUUCUUUUUUUAUUUAUUUUUUAUUCUCAAAAACAAAUGUUUUUAUUCUCAAAAUCUACCAACCAGAAACAGACUGCUUUAGAAGAUAUUAAAUAAAUAAAUAAAUAAAUGUUUUAUUAUUUUAUUUAAAUUUUUUACAUUUGAUUCCUUUUAUUCUUAUUUUUUAUUCUUAAGAACAAAAUAAUGUUUGUUUUUUUCUCUCAAGAACUACCAAGCAGAAACAGACUGCCUUAGAAGAUAUUAAAUAAAAGGUUCAAUUAAUCAAUCAAUAAAUGAUUAUUAUUAUUUUUUAAAUUCUUCUUUUUAUUUAUUUCUAUUCGCAAGAACAAAUGUUUUUAUUCUCAAGAACUAUCAACCAGAAACAGACCACCUUAGGAGAUAUAAUAUAAAAGGUUACAUUAGACAAACAAACAAAUACAAAUAUUUUUUUUAUAAUAAUUGUUUUAUUAUUCAAUAACGAAUGCUAUUUGUAAAGAGACAAUUUUUUUUUACAAUUUCAGUCUCUCCUCAACCAACCCAAAACAGACUGUCCUAGAAGAUGACAAAAGGUUACUAUCAAAAUAAAUAAAUAAAUAAAUCUUAAAUAGAUUUUUAACGGUAACUUAUAACCUACUUUUAGAUUCAAGUUUCUUAAUCAAUGGUAUAUGCUUUUGUUGAAGCUGUAAGCCUGCAUUAUUUCCAAUUAUUUUCAAAAUAAUUGUUUAACAGCUGAAUUUGUGGGGAAAACUACAUUACCCAGGAUUCUUCACACAAAAUUCCACCAAUCAGAUGGUCAUGGUGAGAGAAUUGUGUCAAAAGAAAUCCAGCCACUCCCGUGAAGCACCGCAAAUAAUACAAUUGAGUCUCACUAUGCUGUCAAAAUGUACUUCUUUGCAUAUUGUGCAUGUAUUUCAUAGUUUGUAAUGUUGUGAUUCAUAGCUGGUUGGUUUGGUUCAUGGCUUAUAAUGCUUUAAUGAAGACUUUUUAAAAAUCCCUGUGAGAAAAAUGAAUACUUCCAGAACCAAUUCUGCUGAAAAUGUGGGCAGCAAACGUUCAUGCUUUAAUUACUUGUGACCACAAUAAAUACAUAAAUGCUGCUAUGGAGAUUACAGUCAUUGUUUGUUUGUUCUAUACAGAACUAGCACUUGAACAUGCAUCUAAAGCGGCUCUUAAAUUGGAGACAUACAGUCUUUUGUUGACAUUUUAUUGACAUACAGCUAACCUAGAAAGUAUAUUUGGACGCUUAAGUCACACUUAAAAAUAUCAGAAUGUCAUUGCAUUAGAAAUGAUAUCCAUCAAAUGCUACAUUAUCUUUUCUGUUCGCUAACAUCAUCAUUUUCAAAGUUUUAAUCACACUAUCAACAAACAUAGUCACUGAAUACCGACUGUCCUUAUUUUCAACACUACAUCUAUUGUUUUAGCAUUUCAAAGCAAACAGGCUUCCUUUUGUCGAGUCAUUUUUAUUUGUAUAGUGCUUUUCUACAUUACACGUCAUUUCAAAGCAGAUUUAGCCUACAGAAAAGGUGUGUCAAUGUUUAAAUGAGUUUAUAUGAUAGAGAACAGGAAAUCUAACAUCAAAGCAGACCAUUGCGUUUUAAUGUCUUUAAGCUAGAAUCAUUUAUGUCGAUUAUUUACAAUAACUGACAUGCACUUGCUUUGAUAUUUCGUAAUCUACAACUGAGACGUUUUUAAGUGUGACUUCACUGUCUAAAUAUGUUUUGGCACCGCUGGAAUUAAUCUGUUAAUCAUCAAAAUGUCUGUCACUGUUUUUGUACGAUUCAACAGGCUAAAUGUUUCAAUAACCAAAAACAUGAUAAGUUUAGACCUCGUAUUUAUAGGCUAAUAAACCCUGAUCGCGAACACUUUAUUGUUCAUUUAUCUGUCCAAAUUGUUACUAUUUUCGAACGUUUCAAUAACCACAAAUCGCGGCAAGUUUAGAACCCGUACACUUGGCUAUAAAUAGUCAACGCAUUAGUGGUAACCAUAGCAAUAGUGUGCUGCUCGAGUACUUUGCGUCCGAAAAUCUAUUCAAAUACUGUAAAUAUUUAUCCCUUUAUUGUUUUUUCAUACCUAUAAAUAACAACAAAACCUGACAAAUUCAACCCGUCUAUUUUUAUCAACCGGUAAAUAGACCCUCGCAAACAGAAAUAACGUUCCUCUUUUUUUGGAGGUAACCAUAGCAACAAAGCGCUGCUCGAGAACUUUGCUUCUGAAAACCAAAUACUGUAAUUGUUUAUCACUUAAGUGUUCGUUUACUACUUAUCACGUUUUAAAAGGUCUUUUUAAGACUUAUGACGUUUUGUUUACGGUACAAAGGGCGCCAAAGGACAAAUUCGGUUGCACGUGACGAAAUUGAACAGAUCACGCACGGAACAUUUCUAUAGAAAGUCUUGGUGCAGUUGGUAGACUGAGUACAGGUGCAGCUCUAGUCACGAAUGAUGCCGCUUCAGAGCUUCAUCGACCGCAUUAAGCUGGCAAACACUCUGGAUUUUAGGAGCUCGUCCUACAUAACGAACAGGAACGGACCGAGUGUCCUUGAGCAGAAAGAAAGAUGCUCCUUCCUCCUUCCUCCAGAAAAUGAGGCAGUGCGCAGCGCAAGGUUUAUUUUUUUCCCUGACAGACUUUUUUAGGGUUUCGAGGAACGUGCGUCAGAUGACACUGAAGGUCCUUCUAAAUUUAUAAGAUUAAUAACUCUCUGACAGUCUGCCUAGCAAUCUUAUAUUGAUGCAUAAUAGCCUGCAGAUUAGAUGGGUCAGCCGUACGGCUUGAGAAGGCCUUAGACUUUCUAUCACGUGAUAAAACAGAGAUGGAGAAAGCUACAGGCACACUUGGUUCCCGCUUGUUUGGAAAUCUUAGAUCGGCCCUCAAAGCAUAUGGCGUACCUUGGCAACAACCGUUACGUGUGCAUCCUUUGUAUAAAUGAAUCGCUGUUCAAGAAAGACGUGGAGACGUGAUUGACCAGACUUGGAUCCAGAUUUUAACUGGGAGGAUGUUUGGGUAAAUCUAAAGGAGGCUUCUCGUAAUCCUGACCACCAACAGAUACAUUUUAAUUUCAUAAACGGAACAUAUUUAACCCUCGUAAACUCCAUUUAAUGAAGAGGUUAACUGACCCAAACUGUACCUUGUGUGCUUUGAAGGUUGCAGGUGCUUUUUUACACAUGAUGUGGGAGUCUCCACCUGUUGCUCAGUUUUGGACUGUGGUAGCAUCAAGACUGUCUGAUUUGGUUUCAGCAACUAUACCUAUAAUUGUCCCGGUUUUGUUAUUGAAUAAAUUAACAAUAUUGAAUAUUAAUAAUCAGAACAAGUGCAUAUUACUAGCUGGCCUCACAGCUGCUAAAAAGAUGAGCGCAUUAAGAUGGAAACCUCCUCAUUCUCUUUCUGUUAAAUGCUGGAUUCUCACACAUCUGGAUGUAUUUUUUUUUUUUAGAACUGUCUACUGCUCGAGUAAAUGGUGUAAAUGAAAACUUGGUUGAGAUGAUCUCUUCUCUUUACAUGUAUUUUAAUUGGAAUUCUUGAAUAUGUAGUAAUUCCCUAUGUGUGUGGGUACCCCCUUAUUUUAUUUUAUCUAAUUUAUUUAAUUGAUUUUUUUAUAUUAU